rnacentral:rRNA from 1 species
AACGGCCAUACCAUGCUGAAUAUACCGGUUCUCGUUAGAUCACCGAAGUCAAGCACCAUUGGGCUCGGUCAGUACUUGGGUGGGUGACCACCUGGGAACACCGCGUGCCGUU